GAGUUGUUAUGGCAUCAGGACAUGCAAAUGCUGUUUCCAUGUGAAUUAACAGCUGAACUGACUCAAGUUCUUGCUGGCCCCACUGUGCUCCCAGGCUCAGCCAGGGAUGCACUGAGCCCUAUGUCCUGGGACAUCCCAAGGGAUGGAUGCUGUUCCUGGGCUCAGAAGUUGGGGAGCAGCAGUCCUGGUGCUUUUGUGGUAGGCUGCUGUUGUGUUUGAUGAGGAGUGAGCAGUGGUGCACAGCCAUCAUUACCUGAGAGCUCACUGUGGAGUUCCUGAUGUGGGCAGCAUCCUUGCACAAGUGCUGUUGGCAGAGCCAUCCCUGUGCUCGGGGCUGCCUAGAGCCCGGGGAGAAGCCAUUAAUUGGGAUGGUCCUGUAAUUGAGCAUGGAUCAGCACCAUAUCCCUGGCAGUCAAAUGGGCAGCUUGAGUCCAGCAACAAGUUCAGAAUGCAGAUGUGGGCUGGAAGCCACUCACCAUCAAAUUGCCACAACUUUACCAAAGACAAGCAAAGAGCUGGAGUCAAGAAUAGCCUGGAACAGGGAUCCUUCUCAUGGCUGCUGCUGAGCUGGCUCUUAAGAAAUGCGUCACCAAGCUCUGGACACUGCUGCAGCUAUCAAUGCUGGUAAAUAGCUGAAGCCCUUUAAUUCUGUCCAGCUUAGGGGAGUUAAAAAUUCCAUCACAUCACACCACAGCUUCCUCUUGGUGCUGCACAGGCACUCCAUAAAUCCACACAGCUCUCUCCCUCUUAUCUGAAUCGCAAUGCAGUUAUUAAACAAAUUGUAAGUCUAUUUCAUAUCCUUUUUACUACUUUGAAAACUGCACAAUAUAAAGCUUAAUAAAAGCUGAAUGCUCCAAAACUGCUCUUAGAACUGAAAAUAUGACUACAUCAAAAGACUUUACAAGGGCAGGAUUUUAAUAGCUGAAUAAUAUGCUGGAACAGAGCAGUAAUUUCUUCUCGAAUGCUGGGAUGAAUUAUUUAUGCUUUGACAAUAUUAUGUGUCUCUAAAGCAGCUUUUAGUUAUUCGCCUAUUGGAGGACACAGCUGAUCCUGCUGCCCACUCUUGUAAUUACAUUAACCUCUUGACACUACAUGACAAGCUUUUCCUGUGAACUACGAUCAAUAGCCCAUAACUGCUACCUAUUUAAUAGGGCCAUAGUUACACUUCAGUUCAGAUAUAAUUAGCUCUUUUCCCCCUUCCUCUUUUAACAGAGUGUGGAAAAAGCCCAUGUUGUUUAAAUUAAAAAAAAAAAAUGCACACAACAAAAUAAAAGCUGUUAAGAAGAAGAAUAAAAGCAUUCAAAUAACUGAAUAGGCAAUAAUAUGUUCCCUGAGUUUGGUUCAGAAAUGUGCAGCCCUUCCAUUAGUUCACAUCUGCAUUUAAAAGGAAGGGGAAGCCAUAGCCCAGGAGGACUUUUAGGAAUUAUUUACAGAAAUGUUGGUACAGGUGGGCAGGGCUGUGACAGAUACAGCUGAAGCUGAUAAUGAGAUAAAGGAGCUUCGUGUCCUCUCUGUUUCACCUGGCUUUCACAUGUCAUUGCAUGCCAUUGGAGCUGCCUUGUCUCAGGGAUGCAUUUAGAUUCAGAUAAAUACUUACAGGGCUUGAAAUGAAAGUGUUUGUCUAAUUGUGUUAACACUUUCAAACAAGUAAUGCCUUCUUGAAGCUAAUCUUUUUGCUGUUAUGGACAAUUUGAACAGACUGAAGGAUACAAUGUGGAAGAGAUUGAUCUUCAUCUUGAUGUAAUAGAGAUUACCUGUCAUGGGGCCUUUAAAACUCCUUUUCCUUCCUUGAUCUGUAGGUAGGUGGCCAUGCUCAUGCCAUUGGCCCAGA